rnacentral:lncRNA from 1 species
AUGCUCCAGAAUGAAAUGGCUUAUCCACACAGUACCAUGUUUGUGUAGCAGGAGACACGUGUACGCCAACAUCUCAGCAUUGUCAUUUCUUCUGCUCUUCUUCAUAAUCCAUAUGCCUUGGAAACUUCCUUCAUUUGUCUGUGUCUUAAUGCAAUCUGAGAGCUGGUGUUCGGCCAUGAGAGGCCAUCUUUUUCCUCUGCACACCUUCUCAUCAAGGUCGUCCUCACUUUUGAGGUCCUUAACAGCAUGCCACAACCAGGUAAGUUUCAAAUCACCAAUUAAUUUACAUCAUAAUCAUGUUCAUGAUCAUACCCUUCCUUAAUCUGUAACUAAUUAAGGUACCCUUAAGUCAAAAUAGGAUAUAUAACAUUGAUUUCUAACAUGAUUGGGUGAAUCAAUUGGGGCUUAAUUGCUAUAACAUGAGGAUAUUUUUUUUAUACAAGUGAAACUAUUCUAAAUUAGUCUAAUUUGCGGGGAGAGGGACUUGAAAUUGGUGCAAGGACGAGCUCAUUAUCCUGACCAACUGGCCUAAUCCACGUUUGCUAUUUGGAACUUUAAUUCAGAGGUACCAUAGCAGUCAAGUUAGCAAGGGAGAGCACAGCAGCCACAUGAAUAUGGAAGAGAGAGCACCUUCAACAGCUGAGGAGUUCAAAAGAGUUGCUGAGGAGAAGCUGAAGAAGACAGAGCAAGGUGUAGCCAGUCAAACUGCUGACAAGACAUGUGAUGUGACAGAGGAGACUACCUUGGGUGACUCUAGCGUUGACUCUGUCAAGAACAGGUACAAGCAACAUGAACCUGGUGCUGCUGAUUACAGAAGGAGGUCACAUGAUGACUGAAUAAUUUUGAUUCCCUAAUCAAUACUUUAGUUUUGAUUUUCUGAGCAAUAAAAGAAAAUCUGGAUAUCAUAAAGAUUAAGAGCCAAGGGAAGCCAGAUUGUGUAAAUUAUAUAUCCAAGAACUCAACUUCAACUUGGUUGAGGAGUGUUAAUAUAAACCUUCAAUCUUUGAGCUCAUUUAUAUGGUAGCAAGCAAUUGCACUUGUGUACUUGGUAGCUUUAAUUGAAAACUUGAAAUAUAUGUACAUAAAGCUGCUGCUGCUGCUGCUGCUGCUGCUGCUGCUGCUUAUUUGGAUCAUGGUCUGCAACUGCAAUUCAUUAAUAGGGCUGAUACAUGAUCACGUUGUUUUCACCUUUGCAAUAUAAUCAUAAGUUACAUCCUGCGUUGUAACUGAUAGCAUUCAAAGGUUGAUGCAUCAACGUACGUUUGCUCCAAGCAAUUUGAAUUUGACAACCAUUUUUGGAUGCUCUGC